rnacentral:rRNA from 2 species
AGUGGCGCACGGGUGAGUAACACGUACGCAAUCUACCUUAUGCAGGGGGAUAGCCUUGGGAAACUGGGAGUAAUCCGCCAUGUGAUCUAUAUGGGGCAUCCUGUAGAGAUUAAAGCGCAAGCGGCAUAAGAUGAGCGUGCGACUGAUUAGGUAGUUGGAGAGGUAACGGCUCCCCAAGCCGACGAUCAGUAGGGGGCGUGAGAGCGUGGACCCCCACACGGGUACUGAGAUACGGACCCGACUCCUACGGGAGGCAGCAGUAAGGAAUAUUGGACAAUGGGCGGAAGCCUGAUCCAGCCAUCCCGCGUGCUUGAAGAAGGCGUAUGCGUUGUAAAGAGCUUUAGCCUGGGAAGAAACCGUUGAAUUAAUUCGACGUUGACGGUACCAGAGAAUAAGCACCGGCUAACUCCGUGCCAGCAGCCGCGGUAAUACGGAGGGUGCAAGCGUUAUCCGGAAUCACUGGGUUUAAAGGGUGCGUAGGCGGCUAAAUAAGUCAGAGGUGAAAGCUUGCAGCUUAACUGCGAAAUUGCCUUUGAUACUGUAUAGCUUGAAAGGAGCUGAGGUCAGCAGAAUGUGGCAUGUAGCGGUGAAAUGCAUAGAUAUGCCAUAGAAUACCAAUUGCGAAGGCAGCUGGCUGGGCUUACUUUGACGCUGAGGCACGAAAGCGUGGGGAUCGAACAGGAUUAGAUACCCUGGUAGUCCNCNCCNUAAACGAUG